CUUCAGUGAUGAUACGAUGACGAGUCAGAAUGGACAUGCGCUGUAGAGUUUACUUGAUCAGUGUCACGUUCUGUGUUACUGUCUGGCAGCUCUACAUGGGUUAUGUUCUGCUUGAUUGAUUUUGAGGCAUUUGUCUGAGAAGG